GUGAGGUAAUGGCUCACCAAGGCGACGACGGGUAGCCGGCCUGAGAGGGUGACCGGCCACACUGGGACUGAGACACGGCCCAGACUCCUACGGGAGGCAGCAGUGGGGAAUAUUGCACAAUGGGCGCAAGCCUGAUGCAGCGACGCCGCGUGAGGGAUGACGGCCUUCGGGUUGUAAACCUCUUUCAGUAGGGAAGAAGCGAAAGUGACGGUACCUGCAGAAGAAGCACCGGCUAACUACGUGCCAGCAGCCGCGGUAAUACGUAGGGUGCGAGCGUUAUCCGGAAUUAUUGGGCGUAAAGAGCUCGUAGGCGGUUUGUCGCGUCUGUCGUGAAAGUCCGGGGCUUAACCCCGGAUCUGCGGUGGGUACGGGCAGACUAGAGUGCAGUAGGGGAGACUGGAAUUCCUGGUGUAGCGGUGGAAUGCGCUGAUAUCAGGAGGAACACCGAUGGCGAAGGCAGGUCUCUGGGCUGUAACUGACGCUGAGGAGCGAAAGCAUGGGGAGCGAACAGGAUUAGAUACCCUGGUAGUCCAUGCCGUAAACGUUGGGCACUAGGUGUGGGGACCAUUCCACGGUUUCCGCGCCGCAGCUAACGCAUUA
rnacentral:rRNA from 1 species